rnacentral:rRNA from 1 species
AUUGAACGCUGGCGGCAUGCCUUACACAUGCAAGUCGAACGGCAGCACGGGUGCUUGCACCUGGUGGCGAGUGGCGAACGGGUGAGUAAUACAUCGGAACAUGUCCUGUAGUGGGGGAUAGCCCGGCGAAAGCCGGAUUAAUACCGCAUACGAUCUACGGAUGAAAGCGGGGGCCCUUCGGGCCUCGCGCUAUCGGGUUGGCCGAUGGCUGAUUAGCUAGUUGGUGGGGUAAAGGCCUACCAAGGCGACGAUCAGUAGCUGGUCUGAGAGGACGACCAGCCACACUGGGACUGAGACACGGCCCAGACUCCUACGGGAGGCAGCAGUGGGGAAUUUUGGACAAUGGGCGAAAGCCUGAUCCAGCAAUGCCGCGUGUGUGAAGAAGGCCUUCGGGUUGUAAAGCACUUUUGUACGGAAAGAAAUCCUUGGCCCUAAUACGGUCGGGGGAUGACGGUACCGGAAGAAUAAGCACCGGCUAACUACGUG